rnacentral:rRNA from 1 species
CCUACGGGAGGCAGCAGUGAGGAAUAUUGGUCAAUGGACGAGAGUCUGAACCAGCGAAGUAGCGUGAAGGAUGACUGCCCUAUGGGCUGUAAACUUCUUUUAUAAAGGAAUAAAACGAGUCACGUGUUCCUUUUUGCAUGUACUUUAUGAAUAAGGAUCGGCUAACCCCGUGCCAGCAGCCGCGGUAAUACGGAGGAUCCGAGCGUUAUCAGGAUUUAUUGGGUUUAGAGGGAGCGUAGAUGGGUUGUUAAGUCAGUUGUGAAAGUUUGCGGCUCAACCGUAAAAUUGCAAUUGAUACUGGCAGUCGUGAGUACAGUUGAGGUAAGCGGAAUUCGUGGUGUAGCGGUGAAAUGCUUAGAUAUCACGAAGAACCUCGAUUGCGAAGGCAGCUUACUAAACUGUGACUGACAUUGAUGCUCGAAAGUGUGGGUAUCAAACAGGAUUAGAUACCCUGGUAGUC